rnacentral:rRNA from 1 species
GACGAACGCUGGCGGCGUGCUUAACACAUGCAAGUCGAACGGAAAGGCCCUGCUUUUGUGGGGUGCUCGAGUGGCGAACGGGUGAGUAACCCGUGAGUAACCUGCCCUUGACUUUGGGAUAACUUCAGGAAACUAGGGCUAAUACCGGAUAGGAGCUCCUGCUGCAUGGUGGGGGUUGGAAAGUUUCGGCGGUUGGGGAUGGACUCGCGGCUUAUCAGCUUGUUGGUGGGGUAGUGGCUUACCAAGGCUUUGACGGGUAGCCGGCCUGAGAGGGUGACCGGCCACAUUGGGACUGAGAUACGGCCCAGACUCCUACGGGAGGCAGCAGUGGGGAAUAUUGCACAAUGGGCGGAAGCCUGAUGCAGCAACGCCGCGUGCGGGAUGACGGCCUUCGGGUUGUAAACCGCUUUCGCCUGUGACGAAGCGUGAGUGACGGUAAUGGGUAAAGAAGCACCGGCUAACUACGUG